rnacentral:rRNA from 1 species
GCUUAACGCGAAGAACCUUACCUACUCUUGACAUCCAGAGAACUUUCCAGAGAUGGAUUGGUGCCUUCGGGAACUCUGAGACAGGUGCUGCAUGGCUGUCGUCAGCUCGUGUUGUGAAAUGUUGGGUUAAAUCCCGCAACGAGCGCAACCCUUAUCCUUUGUUGCCAGCGGUUCGGCCGGGAACUCAAAGGAGACUGCCAGUGAUAAACUGGAGGAAGGUGGGGAUGACGUCAAGUCAUCAUGGCCCUUACGAGUAGGGCUACACACGUGCUACAAUGGCGUAUACAAAGAGAAGCGACCUCGCGAGAGCAAGCGGACCUCAUAAAGUACGUCGUAGUCCGGAUUGGAGUCUGCAACUCGACUCCAUGAAGUCGGAAUCGCUAGUAAUCGUAGAUCAGAAUGCUACGGUGAAUACGUUCCCGGGUCUUGUACACACCG